AUAAAUGCAAAGACGAAGAAUAGUACUUUUGAAUGGGUUGUCCAGAGAAUCUGUAUUUGGUGAAAACAGAUCUUCCCAUCAUUAGGAAUGGACUUCUGAGCAUGGUUUACGAACCGGAUUUCGGUGUAGUUCAUCACGUACCUUCACGUUACGAAGUUAAAGAGGCCAAGAUUUUUUGGCAAUCUGGGUGGUACCACGGAUUCACACAUCAUUCGUCCCUUUU
rnacentral:ncRNA from 1 species